rnacentral:rRNA from 1 species
GUGGGGGAGGAAUGUCUUUGGAUUGUAAACCCCUUUUCUCAGGGAAGAAGCUCUGACGGUACCUGAGGAAUCAGCAUCGGCUAACUCCGUGCCAGCAGCCGCGGUAAGACGGAGGAUGCAAGCGUUAUCCGGAAUUAUUGGGCGUAAAGCGUCCGUAGUCGGUUUAUCAAGUCUGCCGUUAAAGACUGCAGCUUAACUGUGGGCGAGCGGUGGAAACUGAUGAACUAGAGUACGGUAGGGUUAGAGGGAAUUCCCAGUGUAGCGGUGAAAUGCGUAGAUAUUGGGAAGAACACCAGUGGCGAAGGCGCUCUACUGGGCCGUAACUGACGCUGAGGGACGAAAGCUAGGGGAGCGAAAGGGAUUAGAUACCCCUGUAGUCCUAGCUGUAAACGAUGGAUACUAGGUGUUGGAUGUAUCGACCCAUUCAGUACCGUAGCCAACGCGA